rnacentral:rRNA from 1 species
AUGAACGCUGGCGGCGUGCCUAACACAUGCAAGUCGAGCGAUCUYUUCGGAGAGAGCGGCGGACGGGUGAGUAACGCGUGGGUAACCUGCCCUGUACACACGGAUAACAUACCGAAAGGUAUGMUWAUACGGGAUAACAUAUAAGAGUCGCAUGACUUUUAUAUCAAAGAUUUUUCGGUACAGGAUGGACCCGCGUSUGAUUAGCUUGUUSGCGGGGUAMCGGCCCACCAAGGMGACGAUCAGUAGCCKACCUGAGAGGGUGAUCGGCCACAUUGGAAYUGAGACACGGUCCAAACUCCUACGGGAGGCAGCAGKGGGGAAUAUUGCACAAUGGGCGCAAGCCUGAUGCAGCAACGCCGCGUGAGCGAUGAAGGCCUUCGGGUCGUAAAGYUYUGUCCUCAAGGAAGAUAAUGACG